AGAGUUUGAUCAUGGCUCAGGAUGAACGCUGGCGGCGUGCCUAAUACAUGCAAGUCGAACGGAGAUGUUAGCAAUAGCAUCUUAGUGGCGAACGGGUGAGUAACGCGUUGGUGACCUGCCCCAAAGUGUGGGAUAACAGUCCGAAAGGAUUGCUAAUACCGCAUGUGGUCAUCGGGUUUAGAAGCCGAUGAUUAAAGGAGUAAUUCGCUUUGGGACCCGGGACUGCGUCCCAUCAGCUAGUUGGUAGGGUAACGGCCUACCAAGGCGUCGACGGGUAAGGGGCCUGAGAGGGUGGCCCCUCACAAUGGAACUGAAACACGGUCCAUACACCUACGGGUGGCAGCAGUAGGGAAUAUUGGUCAAUGGGCGAAAGCCUGAACCAGCCAACGCCGCGUGUGCGAUGAAGGUCUUCGGAUCGUAAAGCACUUUUCUGGGAGAUGAGAAAGGACAGUAUCCCAGGAAUAAGCCUCGGCUAACUACGUGCCAGCCGCCGC
rnacentral:rRNA from 1 species